ensembl:lncRNA
GGAGAGGUCGAGAGAGGGAGAGGUCGAGAGAGAGGGAGAGAGGUCGAGAGAGGGAGAGAGGUCGAGAGAGGGAGAGAGGUCGAGAGAGGUCGAGAGAGAGAGAGGGAGGUCGAGAGAGAGAGAGGGAGGUCGAGAGAGAGAGAGGGAGGUCGAGAGAGAGAGAGAGGGAGGUCGAGAGAGAGAGAGAGGGAGGUCGAGAGAGAGAGAGAGGGAGGUCGAGAGAGAGAGAGAGGGAGGUCGAGAGAGAGAGAGAGAGAGGGAGGUCGAGAGAGAGAGAGAGGUCGAGAGAGAGAGAGAGAGGUCGAGAGAGAGAGAGGGAGGUCGAGAGAGAGAGAGGGAGGUCGAGAGAGAGAGAGAGGGAGGUCGAGAGAGAGAGAGGGAGGUCGAGAGAGAGAGGUCGAGAGAGAGAGAGGUCGAGAGAGAGAGAGGUCGAGAGAGAGAGAGGUCGAGAGAGAGAGAGGUCGAGAGAGAGAGAGCGGUCGAGAGAGAGAGAGAGAGGUCGAGAGAGAGAGAGAGCGGUCGAGAGAGAGAGGUCGAAAGAGAGAGAGGUCGAGAGGUCGAAAGAGAGAGAGCGAGGUCGAGAGAGAGAGAGAGGUUGAGAGAGAGUGGUCGAGAGAGAGAGAAAAAAAUAUACUUAAAUUCACACAGGACACCGGAUAGGACAGGAGAAGUACUCCAGAUAUAACAAACUGACCCUAGCCCCCCGACACACACUACUGCAGCAUAAAUACUUGAGGCUGAGACAGGAGGGGUCAGGAGACACUGUGGCCCCAUCCGAUGACACCCACGGACAGGGCCAAACAGGAAGGAUAUAACCCCACCCACUUUGCCAAAGCACAGCCCCCACA